rnacentral:rRNA from 1 species
GACGAACGCUGGCGGCGUGCUUAACACAUGCAAGUCGAACGGAAAGGCCCUGCUUUUGUGGGGUGCUCGAGUGGCGCACGGGUGAGUAACACGUGAGUAACCUGCCCUUGACUUUGGGAUAACUUCAGGAAACUGGGGCUAAUACCGGAUAGGAUCUCCUGCUGCAUGGUGGGGGUUGGAAAGUUUCGGCGGUUGGGGAUGGACUCGCGGCUUAUCAGCUUGGUGGUGGGGUAGUGGCUUACCAAGGGUUUGACGGGUAGCCGACCUGAGCGGGUUACCGGCGACCUUGGGACUGCGGGAGGCACCAGAAUCGUACGGGAGGCAGCAGUGGGGAAUAUGGCACAAUAAGCGGGAGCCAGAUGCAACAACGCCGCGAGCGGAAUGCCGUGCUUCGGGUGGUAAACAACUGUCGCCUGUAACGAAGCGGGAGUGACGGUAAUGGGUAAAAAAGCACCGGCUAACUACGUG